ACAAGGCUCCUUUCACCUGGAGGCGGGGCCAGUGCAGCUCCGCCCCCUCAACCAGAGGCGGGAACAAGGCUGUCCCUGCAGGGUUUUCCUACGCUUGAAGCCUGCCCCAGGGCCUCUGGGUUUCCGCGGCAGGUGUGGGUGCGGACCUUGUUUCGACUUCGGGUUGAGCAUCCCGAGUGCUGCGCCCUUCCAGGCUCUACUUGUGUGAGUCAGACAAGCUGUUCACCAUCUCUGGAUCUAGGUCUCAGUAGUAAAACGUGGUCAAAUGACCUGACUCCACGGAAUUCACACGAUGGCACCUGUGUCAAAAGUUGGCUCCCAACUGAACUUUGCCGUUUACCGAGCAGUUCAAGAAAACCGUUCCCAGAGACGCUUUUCCAGAAUCCACGGUGGAACUAACUUCUCUCCCAUUUUCUCUCUUAAUACUUUGUAUUUCUUUUUAUUUCUACCGUUCCCUUUACCUCACUGGUCUCUAGAGAAGGUGCUGUGAGUAGAACUCUAAAUGAACCUUUGAUCUCCUACUCUGGUUUUCUAUACACUUUUUACCUCGCUGGGAUUCUCAACCCUGGCCGCACAAUGGAGUCUUUUGGGAGCAUCUAAAAAAUACUGAUGCCUGAGCCCCACCCCCCAAAUAAGCCACGUUUGAAGAGAAAUGCCCCAAAGGCCAUUGACUUUUCAAGCCCAAGUGGUUGACCUCAGUGAAGGCGUUCUGGCUGUGGAAAAUUUUUCCUCCUUGGGUAGGCAAAAGACAAAAUCCUAAUUAUUAGAAGCCUGCUUUAGCUCAUCUACAUUUCAGCCAGAAAGGUCAUGAAAUCAGUUCUAGAGACAGCUGAGAGGGCAUCAUUCCUGGGGCCUGGCUACUAUAACUAUACUAUUCUGUACUCAGUAGGUGCCAUACCCAACACAGGCUUGAACGCACGACCCUGAAGAUUAAGAGUUGCAUGCUCUACCAACUGGGCCGGCCUGGCAGCCCUAUCUCACAGGAUUGCUGAAGCUAAAAUAAUUUGUGUGGAAUACUGGGUACACAUUAAGGACUCAAUCAGUGAUAGUUCAACACCGCCCCCCCCCCCAAUUAAAGCAUCACAAUGAAACAAUA